UACGUAGGGUGCAAGCGUUAAUCGGAAUUACUGGGCGUAAAGCGUGCGUAGACGGUUACAUAAGUCAGAUGUGAAAGCCCCGGGCUCAACCUGGGAAUUGCAUUUGAGACUGCGUAGCUAGGGUGCGGAAGAGGGAAGCGGAAUUUCCGGUGUAGCGGUGAAAUGCGUAGAUAUCGGAAGGAACACCAGUGGCGGAAGCGGCUUCCUGGUCCAGCACCGACGUUCAGGCACGAAAGCGUGGGGAGCAAACAGG
rnacentral:rRNA from 1 species